rnacentral:rRNA from 1 species
GGCGUCAGAACGAACGCUGGCGGCAGGCCUAAGUCAUGCAAGUUGAACGGCUGUAGCAAUACAGCAGUAGCGGACGGGUGAGUAAUGUAUGGGAACGUAUCUUCUAGUGGGGAAUAUUCUUUGGAAACGAAGAGCAAUACCGCAUGAGUCCUACGGGAGAAAGUCGCAAGACGCUAGAUGAGCGGCCCAUAUUGGAUUAGCUAGUUGGUUAGGUAAUGGCUGACCAAGGCAACGAUCCAUAGCUGGUCUAAGAGGACGAUCAGCCACAUUGGGACUGAGACACGGCCCAGACUCCUACGGGAGGCAGCAGUCAGGAAUAUUGGACAAUGGGGGCAACCCUGAUCCAAGCCAUGCCGCGUGAGUGUUAAGGUCUUCGGAUUGUAAAGCUCUUUUGUGUGGGAAAAUGAUGAUGGUACCACAAGAAUAAGCACCGGCUAACUUCGUGCCAGCCGCGGC